GUAUAAGAGACAGCAGCAGCCGCGGUAAUACAGAGGGUGCGAGCGUUAAUCGGAUUUACUGGGCGUAAAGCGUGCGUAGGCGGCUUUUUAAGUCGGAUGUGAAAUCCCUGAGCUUAACUUAGGAAUUGCAUUCGAUACUGGGAAGCUAGAGUAUGGGAGAGGAUGGUAGAAUUCCAGGUGUAGCGGUGAAAUGCGUAGAGAUCUGGAGGAAUACCGAUGGCGAAGGCAGCCAUCUGGCCUAAUACUGACGCUGAGGUACGAAAGCAUGGGGAGCAAACAGGAUUAGAGACCCCCGUAGUCCCUGUCUCUUAUAC
rnacentral:rRNA from 1 species